rnacentral:rRNA from 1 species
AUGGAGUACCAGCCUCUGGUGUCGGCCCUUGAUGCUCGCACCUCCCUCGUCACCCUAGAUGAGUUGUUCACCAUGCUAAGCAAUUUUGAUCAGCGCGUGGCACUCUAUCAGGGUUCGGGGGGUUUCAAGUCUUCCGCGAACGCUGCCUCUCGUGGCCGUGGCGGCCGCCGCGGCGGACCUCCACACGGCAAGAACCGCUCGGGCGGCGGCGGCACCUCCUCCAACAACACCACUCCUUGGACCGGCCGUUCCCCCUCCACCAACUCCAGGGGACGCGGCGGCGGUGGUGGCCGCGGCUCCAACCGAGCGUGCCCUGAUGCGCCGCGCUGCCAGAUCUGUGGCAAGCUUGGGCACACCGCUUGGGACUGCUGGUACCGCUAUGAUGAGGACGAUGAUGACUCCCAGGAUCAGGACAAGGUGGCUGCUGCUGCGGACGGCUCCUACGGCGUCGACACCAACUGGUACAUCGACAGCGGUGCCACCGAACACAUCACCAGCGAGCUUGAGAAGGUGACCACGCGGAAAAAAUACCGCGGCAAGGAUCAAAUCCACACUGCUAGUGGUGCAGGUAUGAGGACUCGUCACGUUGGUCAUAUAGUUAUUAAAACUCCCCAUCGCAAACUUCAUCUUAGAAAAUUUUUGCAUGUCCCUAGUGCUAGUAUGUGUUGGAAAUAUGCCCUAGAGGUAAUAAUAAAAGGAUUAUUAUUAUAUUUCCUUGCUCAUGAUAAUUGUCUUUUAUUCAUGCUAUAA